rnacentral:lncRNA from 1 species
GCCUUCGGGCGGUUAUUUUUGGGCACAGCUGUUCCUGCGGCCUAUUUUUGGCACACGGAGUUGCCUCGCAAAGUCUCGCUCCAUUCCGAGGCCGGCGGACGAAGUUGGCCAGCCCCACCCCCCAAGGCUAUAGCCCACCCGUUUUUGUGGCCUUUUUCCGAUGGACGAACUUGGCGCCCCGGCUUUCGGGCGGUUAUUUUUGGGCACGGCUGUGCCCGCGGCCUAUUUUUGGAAAACGGAGGUGCCUCGCAAAGUCUCGCGCCAUUCCAAGUCCGGCGGACGAAGUUGGCCAGCCCCACCCCCCAAGGCUAUAGCCAACCCGUUUUUGUGGCCUUUUUCCGCUGGACAAACUUGGCGCCCCGGCUUUCGGGCGGUUAUUUUUGGGCGUGACUGUGCCCGCAGCCUAUUUUUGGCACACGGAGGCACCUCACAAAGUCUCGCGCCAUUCCGAGUCCGGCGGACGAAGUUGGCUAGCACCACCCCCAAAGGCUAUAGCCCGCCCGUUUUUGUGGGCUUUUUCCGCUGGACGAACUUGGCGCCCCGGCCUUCGGGCGGUUAUUUUUGGGCAAGGCUUUGCCCGCGGCCUAUUUUUGGCACACGGAGGCCCCUCGCAAAGUCUCGCGGCAUUCCGAGUCCGGCGGACGAAGUUGGCCAGCCCCACCCCCCAAGGCUAUAGCCCACCCGUUUUUGUGGCCUUUUUCCGCUGGACGAACUUGGCGCCCCGGCUUUCGGGCGGUUAUUUUGGGCGCGACGGUGCCUGCGGCCUAUUUUUGGCACACGGAGGCGNNNNNNNNNNNNNNNNNNNNNNNNNNNNNNNNNNNNNNNNNNNNNNNNNNNNNNNNNNNNNNNNNNNNNNNNNNNNNNNNNNNNNNNNNNNNNNNNNNNNNNNNNNNNNNNNNNNNNNNNNNNNNNNNNNNNNNNNNNNNNNNNNNNNNGCCUGCGGCCUAUUUUUGGCACACGGAGGCGCCUCACAAAGUCUCGCGCCAUUCCGAGUCCGGCGGACGAAGUUGGCCAGCACCACCCCCCAAGGCUAUAGCCCGCCCGUUUUUGUGGGCUUUUUCCGCUGGACGAACUUGGCGCCCCGGCCUGCGGGCGGUUGUUUUUGGGCACGGCUGUUCCCGCGGCCUAUUUUUGGCACACAGAGGUGCCUCGCAAAGUCUCGCUCCAUUCCGAGUCCGGCGGUCGAAGUUGGCCAGCCCCACCCCCCAAGGCUAUAGCCAACCCGUUUUUGUGGCCUUUUUCCGCUGGACAAACUUGGCGCCCCGGCUUUCGGGCGGUUAUUUUUGGGCGCGACUGUGCCCGCAGCCUAUUUUUGGCACACGGAGGCACCUCACAAAGUCUCGCGCCAUUCCGAGUCCGGCGGACGAAGUUGGCUAGCACCACCCCCAAAGGCUAUAGCCCGCCCGUUUUUGUGGCCUUUUUCCGCUGGACGAACUUGGCGCCCCGGCUUUCGGGCAGUUAUUUUUGGGCGCGACGGUGUCUGCGGCCUAAUUUUGGCACACGGAGGCACCUCACAAAGUCUCGCGCCAUUCCGAGUCCGGCGGACGAAGUUGGCCAGCCCCACCCCCCAAGGCUAUAGCCCACCCGUUUUUGUGGCCUUUUUCCGCUGGACGAACUUGGCGCCCCGGCCUUCGGGCGGUUAUUUUUGGGCAAGGCUUUGCCCGCGGCCUAUUUUUGGCACACGGAGGCCCCUCGCAAAGUCUCGCGGCAUUCCGAGUCCGGCGGACGAAGUUGGCCAGCCCCACCCCCCAAGGCUAUAGCCCACCCGUUUUUGUGGCCUUUUUCCGCUGAACGAACUUGGCGCCCCGGCCUUCGGGCGGUUAUUUUUGGACGUGGCUUGGUCCGCGGCCUAUUUUUGGCACACGGAUGCCACUCGUAAAGUCUCGCGGCAUUCCGAGUCCGGCGGACGAAGUAGGCCAGCCCCACCCCCCAAGGCUAUAGCCCACCCAUUUUUGUGGCCUUUUUCUGCUGGACGAACUUGGCGCCCCGGCCUUCGGGCGGUUAUUUUUGGGCGCGGCAUUGCCUGCGGCCUAUUUUUGGCACGCGGAGGCCCCUCGCAAAGUCUCGCGGCAUUCCGAGUCCGGCAGACGAAGUUGGCCAGCCCCACCCCCCAAGGCUAUAGCCCACCCGUUUUUGUGGCCUUUUUCCGCUGGACGAACUUGGCGCCCCGGCCUUCUGGCGGUUAUUUUUGGGCGCGGCUUUGCCCGUGGCCUAUUUUUGGCACACGGAGGCCCCUCGCAACGUCUCGCGGCAUUUCGAGUCCUGCGGACGAAGUUGACCAGCCCCACCCCCCAAGGCUAUAGCCCACCCGUUUUUGUGGCCUUUUUCCGCUGGACGAACUUGGCGCCCCGGCCUUCUGGCGGUUAUUUUUGGGCGCGGCUUUGCCCGUGGCUUAUUUUUGGCACACGGAGGCCCCUCGCAAUGUCUCGCGGCAUUUCGAGUCCGGCGGAAGAAGUUGGCCAGCCCCACCCCCCAAGCCUAUAGCCCACCCUUUUUUGUGGCCUUUUACCGCUGGACGAACUUGGCGCCCCGGCCUUCGGGCAGUUAUUUUUGGGUGCGGCUUUGCCCGCGGCCGAUUUUUGGCACACGGAGGCCCCUCGUAAACUCUCGCGGCAUUCCGAGCCCGGCGGAUGAAGUGGGCCAGCCUCACCCCCCAAGGCUAUAGCCCACCCGUUUUUGUGGCCUUUUUCCGCUGGACGAACUUGGCGCCCCGGCCUUCGGGCGGUUAUUUUUGGGCGCGGCUUUGUCCGCGGCCUUUUUUUGGCACACGGAGGCCCCUCGCAAAGUCUCGCGGAAUUCCGAGUUCGGCGGACGAAGUUGACCAGCCCCACCCCCCAAGGCUAUAGCCCACCCGUUUUUGUGGCCUUUUUCCGCUGGACGAACUUGGCGCCCCGGCCUUCGGGGGCUUAUUUUUGGGGGCAGCUUUGUUCGCGGCCUAUUUUUGGCACACGGAGGCCGCUCGCAAAGUCUCGCGGUAUUCCGAGUCCGGCGGACG